UGCAUGGCCACUUUGAGAAACUCUAUGAAGACCGGGCUACAUGGGUGCCGUGUUACUUCAAAUUCAAGUUCUUCCCUUCAGUCAACGCAACACAACGAAGGGUUCAAUGCUGUGUUGAAGCGCUAUGUGAACCCACACAAGUCAAUUCUCAACUUCGUCAAGCAAUAUGAGAAGAUUCAGGUACACAUACUCGUGAGGAAGGGCGGGAACGAUUACCUAACAGAGCAUCUAGAUGCACAAAGAUGGUCGCGUUUCCCCAUUGAGAGGCAUUCCUACAAGGAAUACACUAGGGACAUCUAUGUGAAAUUUAGAAUUGAGUUUCAAAUGAUUGACCAGUAUGAUGUGCGUCCCGCUGGAAUCAACUUCUAUUACCUUGAGCCCAAUACA
rnacentral:rRNA from 1 species